UACGAAGGGGGCUAGCGUUGCUCGGAAUUACUGGGCGUAAAGCGCACGUAGGCGGAUUGUUAAGUCGGGGGUGAAAUCCUGGAGCUCAACUCCAGAACUGCCUUCGAUACUGGCGAUCUCGAGUUCGGGAGAGGUGAGUGGAAUUCCCAGUGUAGCGGUGAAAUGCGUAGAUAUUGGGAGGAACACCAGUGGCGAAGGCGGCUCACUGGACCGGUACUGACGCUGAUGCGCGAAAGCGUGGGGAGCAGACGGG
rnacentral:rRNA from 1 species